AGCUAGAACUGGAUAGCAUAAAUAGAGAAGUUGUGAGAAAGGUGGAGAAAGAGCUGUGAGAAAAUGACCCUCGAGAUGUGAAGUGCAAGAAGAGGAGAAGUAGUAAACCACAAGGUACAAUUCUGAAUACUCAAGGUGAUGGUGAUCACUGAUGCCGCACCAUCUCAGUCGUCUGGGUUCAACUGAAGGUGAUGCUGAUCAGUUAUGAUGUUCACAGUCUAAACAUGGUGAUGAUUUGACAGUAUACAAACUGAGAAUGUCACAAUUUUUGUCUCCGUUUUGCUGAAUCAAAUUACUACAAACUGAGAGUCAUAAUUUCUGUCUCCGUUUUGCUCUGUGAGACAUAGUGAGAUAUUAUGUUGGACGCGAUAAAGUGUAUUGGAUUCUUGUA